rnacentral:rRNA from 1 species
UCUCUAAGCAAUGGAUGUCUUGGCUCCUCACACGAUGAAGAACGUGGCAUAAUGUGUUAAGUAACCGGAGUUGCAUACAUCAUGACAGGUUAAUCUUUGAAUGCAAAUUGCGCUAAACUCGGCUUCGGCUGAGAAGCAUGCGUGUAACAGUACAACAUAAUUUAUAA